GUGCCAGCAUCCUCGGUAAUACGGGCGUCACGCUUGAUGACCGCUAUUAUUGGGCCUAAAGCGUCCGUAGCUGGCCACGCAAGUUCGUCGGGUUAUCUGCGCGCUUAACGCGCAGGCGUCCGGUGGAAACUGUGUGGCUUGGGACCGGAAGACCAGAGGGCUACGUCCGGGGUAGGAGUGAAAUCCCGUAAUCCUGGACGGACCACCGGUGGCGAAAGCGCCUCUGGAAGACGGAUCCGACGGUGAGGGACGAAAGCUCGGGUCACGAACCGGAUUAGAAAACCGAGUAGUGC
rnacentral:rRNA from 1 species